CAGACAUGUUGCUGUUGCUUGGAGCCUGUUCGCAGCCAAGUGGGAGAGUGUUUCCACAAAGUUCCAUUCCAGUGAAAACACGAGGAUAAAUGCAAUAAAGCAAACUACAAGGAGGAGGUUUUCAACUGACUGGAUGAGGCCCAUCCACAUUCAGAAGGGCCUUCUGCUUCAGAGUCUACUAAUUCAAAUAUCAACUUCAUCCCAAACCACAGAAACACAUCCAGAAUAAUAGCUGGGCACCCUGUGGCCAGGUCAAGUUGACGUUUAAAAUGUCAACUGUGUCCUCAGGAGACAAGAUGGCCGAAUAUCCUGCCAGAUGGCAUUUGUCUGUGUUUUAAUCAAAAUGCCCUGUUCUCUCCCCACAAUGUGAAACAGCCACAUACUGUUCAGGUCAGACACAAGAAAUAGCACAGAAGCCCACAGUCGUUUUUCAAGUUUGGGAGGUCAGAAAACAGGCCCAAGUGCUGUUUAGGUUUAAUUCUGUCUCCCCAGUGCCAGCCUUGGGCUCUGGGAACAAUGGUCCCUGUAGUCAGCUGUAAGCAGGUCUUGAGAGGUGAAGUCCUGAGCAAACACAAGUAGGGCUCAGGGAGAGACUGAGGACAGGAGCUCAAAUAGCAUUUCCUUCCAAUCCCAUCUCCCUGUAUGGGUGAUGGGCAAGGCUCUGAACACAUGGUCUCAUCCAGGCUUUUCAACCAUUGACAGAAUAGUGGUCAUAUCAUUUUUCUUUUUAUUAAUUUAGAGAUGGGUCUCACUGUGUUGCCCAGGCAGACCUGGAACUUGUUAAGUAGACUAGGCUACCUUGAACUCAUUAGAGAUCCUCCUGC